rnacentral:tRNA from 1 species
AAAGAAUUAGUUAAAAAUUUAUAACAUUAAUAUGUCAAAUUAAAAUUAUUUUAUAAUAUUCUUUA